rnacentral:rRNA from 1 species
GUCUACGGCCAUACCACCCUGAACGCACCCGAUCUCGUCUGAUCUUGGAAGCUAAGCAGGAUCAGGAGACAAAUCAAAAAUAGGAUGCCUGUUUCCGGGAGAAC